UACGGAGGGGGCAAGCGUUAUUCGGAAUUAUUGGGCGUAAAGGGCUCGUAGGCGGCUUAGUAAGUGGGGUGUGAAAUCCCCAGGCUUAACCUGGGAACUGCAUGCGAUACUGGAUGGCUUGAAUCCGGGAGAGGGAUGCAGAAUUCCAGGUGUAGCGGUGAAAUGCGUAGAUAUCUGGAGGAAUACCAGUGGCGAAGGCGGCAUCCUGGACCGGCAUUGACGCUGAUGAGCGAAAGCUAGGGGAGCAAACAGG
rnacentral:rRNA from 1 species